GACGUAGGGCGCGAGCGUUGUCCGGAUUUAUUGGGCGUAAAGAGCUCGUAGGCGGCUUGUUACGUCGACUGUGAAAACCCGCGGCUCAACUGCGGGCCUGCAGUCGAUACGGGCAGGCUAGAGUUCGGCAGGGGAGACUGGAAUUCCUGGUGUAGCGGUGAAAUGCGCAGAUAUCAGGAGGAACACCGGUGGCGAAGGCGGGUCUCUGGGCCGAUACUGACACUGAGGAGCGAAAGCGUGGGGAGCGAACAGG
rnacentral:rRNA from 1 species